rnacentral:rRNA from 1 species
GAGUUUGAUCCUGGCUCAAAAUGAACGCUGCGGCAGCCCGAGGGUUGUAAAGCACUUUCAAUUGUGAGGAAAGGUUAGUCGCUUAAUAUCGGCUAGCUGUGACGUUAACUUUAGAAGAAGCACCGGCUAACUCUGUGCCAGCAGCCGCGGUAAUACAGAGGGUGCAAGCGUUAUUCGGAAUUACUGGGCGUAAAGCGCGCGUAGGCGGACUGUUAAGUCGGUUGUGAAAGCCCUGGGCUCAACCUAGGAAUUGCAUCCGAUACUGGCAAUCUAGAGUUUAGGAGAGGGAAGUGGAAUUCCUGGUGUACCAGUGAAAUGCGUAGAUAUCAGUAGGAUCCUCAGUGGCAAAGGCGGCUUCCUGGCCUAAACCCCCCGGUUAGGCGCGAAAGCGUGGGUAGCGACCGGGAUUAGAUUCCCUGGUAGUC